CCCUUUACCACGUUUUACUGGUAUCGUAUCAAAUCCUUGUCUAUAAAGACAGCGAUAUUUUGUGGUCCUCAAUGCGACCUGCC
rnacentral:snRNA from 1 species